UGGUGGAGUGAUUUGUCUGCUUAAUUGCGAUAACGGACGAGACCUUAACCUGCUAAAUAGCCCGUAUUGCUUUGGCAGUACGCUGGCUUCUUAGAGGGACUAUCGGCUCAAGCCGAUGGAAGUUUGAGGCAAUAACA
rnacentral:rRNA from 1 species